GACGAACGCUGGCGGCGUGCUUAACACAUGCAAGUCGAACGCUGAAGCUCAGCUUUUGUUGGGUGGAUGAGUGGCGAACGGGUGAGUAACACGUGAGUAACCUGCCUCCUUCUUUGGGAUAACGCCCGGAAACGGGUGCUAAUACUGGAUAUUCACUGGUCUUCGCAUGGGGGUUGGUGGAAAGGGUUUUUCUGGUGGGGGAUGGGCUCGCGGCCUAUCAGCUUGUUGGUGGGGUGAUGGCCUACCAAGGCUUUGACGGGUAGCCGGCCUGAGAGGGUGACCGGGCACAUUGGGAAUGGGAUACGGCCCCGGAUCCUACGGGAGGCAGCAGGGGGGAAUAAUGCACAAUGGGGGGAAGGCUGAUGGAGCGACGCCGGGGGAGGGAUGGAGGGCUUCGGGUUGUGAACCUCUUUCGCUCAUGGUCAAGCCGCAAAAAUGGUUGUGGUGAAGGUAGUGGGUAAAGAAGCGCCGGCUAACUAAGUG
rnacentral:rRNA from 1 species